ensembl:lncRNA
CUCAAUGUGAGUCAUUAUGCUUUUCCUAUCUGCUCCCUCACUCAUUACCCCGCAAAGUGGAAUCAAAGCCCUUAUCAGGGGCUUUGGGAGAGGAAUCAGGCAAUAGGAACUCAGUCCUUUCCUCUCUCCUUCAUCUAGGAAGUCAGCUGCUCCUAGAUAGCAAGUGUUCUGAAUCUCUGUGUUCUAAGUUUUUUAGUAGGAGAGCUCCAUAUGGUGGGUGGCAGGUGGGAGGGCUAUUGGCUGUCCAGAUGAGCUUGUGGCCACGUGGUUAAGUCUGCCUGAAUCCAGGGUUCAGGACUGGAAGCCUGUUCUUGCUGCUCUUAAACCACAUUCACCAUCUAGUCUUUAUCAGCAAGAGGGAUGAUAUUGAUACAUUGGACUCCAUCUGCCUGACUGUUCUGUAUAUUCCAACUGGUUCAAAACUGCAUCAGGGAAAAGGAGUAUAUCUACAGGCUCCCUAAAACCUCAGUAGGUUUGCAGACACAGUUGAUAUCACCCGUGUGUUAUCAUCUUGUCUUUGCCACAGCAGACAGAUGGCAGUGUCUACAGGGCAGCCUCUGGCCCUUACAGGCUGUCACCCAGUAAUCAAUUGGAUGUCCAGGAGAAAAGCCAUCUGCAGUAAAAUCUUCAAUGUUGACUGAUUUCCGUGGUGCAGACAUCCACACCAUUGCUGCUUUCAAGCGGCACUCAAGGCAUCAUUGAACAGAGUUGGGAGGAGACGGACACAAUCUGCUCUCCACACCAGCAAGGCGCCAACUCAGCCGACUCUCUGCACCUCUCUGGAGCCAGGGCAACAUCCCUCCAGAGAGGCAGAUGGCUGAGUGCACGGCUAGAUGCACCCCUCUCAGCUGGACUUCCUGUUUGGGGAUUGUUUGCUACCCUGAGAACUGGCUCAAAGGCCAAACCUUUGUGCCAUAUUCAGUGUGUUUUUACAUACAGCGAGCAGGAAAUGCAUGCCUAAUAAGAAACACCUCUGAAGCCGUUUCAAGCCCUACCUGAGGAAAGCUGUGCAGUUUUCUUCACAGGCAACCUGCAAUGAUCGUCUAGAUCCCUCCCCCACCCCCUGCUGUCCCUCAGUACUUCUUCCAUAUUUUUUAUAUAACUUCCUAAAAUAAUCCAAUAACUCCAGAACAAAAUUUCCCUCAGAGUCUUGGUAAAUUGAUUUCUUCGGCUGAGUUCCUCCAAGAAACACCAUGAAACAAAGACUCAGGUGCAAGUGGUUUAUCUGAAGAUGAAGGGGUGGUAAGGUGAGAUAAGAAAGCCAAUAGAGGUUGCCUAUUGAGCCCAUUGGGCUUCCGAGGUGGCACUAGUGGUAAAGAAUCCGCCUGCCAAUGCAGGACAUGCAAGAGCCGAGGAUUCCAUCCCUGGGUGGGGAAGAUACCCCUGGAGUAGGAAAUGGCACCCCACUCCAAUAUUCUUGCCUGGAAAAUUCCAUGGACAGAGGAGCCUGGCGGGCUACAGUUCAUGAGGCCACAAAGAAUCAGGCAUGACUGAGCACACACACACAGAUUGAGCCAGCAAGGUGAUGUCACCACGGCUUAUGGACAGAGGGGAAGAAACCCUGACGGAUGGGCCAGAAUGGCUCUGCCCAAGCUUGUGACAUUGGGGAAACCUCCUAGACUUCAUGGACACAGUCCAGAUGCACGAGCUGGGAGGGGAGUUUGGAAAGGAAGGCUCUGCGGGAGGAAACAGAUGGCACCAACAACCUUCUCAGAGGAGCCGUUGCAUCAUCUUCUC